UAAUUACAACAAGUAUAUUUCGUUUAUAAAUGAAGAAAUAGCUAUUUAAUAGUACUAAAUCUACACCACAAACUUCCGGUCUACUGCAGCAAUAGCGCUAGAACAGAAAUGACCGAAAGAAUUUUUUUUUCAUGUCCUAAGAACAAAAAUACAUAAUUUUUAAAAUAUAUUUUCGGCAGCCUUUCAUUUCAUAAACAUAAGGUGUCGAACUGAAAAUGAAGCCGGGAAUGUACAAAGAUAAACGUGGCUACAAUGAGCACCAAAUUAGGAUGUGAAGCCGCUGCCCACGCAACCAACUUGUCCUCCUUGUCACCGAAGGUCAUCCUAAAACUUGACCCAAGGAAUACAUUCAACUCCGUCAGCCGCGAUGCUGUCCUCAGCUCAGUAAGAGAGAAGGUUCCACAACUCUACCGCUUUGCAUGGCAGGCUUAUCGGUGACCAAAUCAUCACCUCUACCUUAGAUGUCCAACAGGGCGACCCACUCGGGUCUAUUCGCACUGGGCAUUGAUGACAUCACCAAGAUGAGGGGGGAGUCGAGCUAGACCUCAACGUCUGGUAUCUCGAUGACGCUUGUUUGGUGGGGGAACCUCCAGACAGGGUUCUGGCCAUUGCAAACAAGAUGGUUGAGGAGCUUGGUUGUCAGGGUCUCCAAAUAAACAGCUCCAAAUGUGAGCUCUGGAUCCUCAAUAUCAACAAACUAUAGACCUAUUUACAGAGUUCUUCCCUUCCAUUGCAGUUCCUCCCUCAUCUAUUUGGUGCUCCUUAGGAGCCCCAAUUAUUGACCUUGCCUUUGAGUCUAUCUUCCAGUAGAAGGUGGCUGCUUUAGAGCAAUUGCUGAAGAAUAUAGAAGCAAUCGAACCCCAUCAAGGUUUCUUCAUACUUAGAAAUUACCUUUCGUUUCCUAAGCUUCUAUAUUUUUGCUCAGUCAGCUGCUCUCACCGAUUCCCUUCUUACCUCCAACACUUCGACAACCUAAUCUUUGAGAGACUCGAAUGCUUGGUCAAUGUCAGGCUCUCUCCAACAUCCCACGAUCAGGCUGCAUUGCCCAAGCAAGUUGGGGGUCUUGGUCUUUGAAAGUGUUUGUCCCUCUCUCUCCUCUGCUUCCUUUCUUCCACUUACACCUGCUCCACCCUGGUGAGCAACAUCCUCUCCUCUCCAACAUGGACCAGUACCAACAGGGAGUUGGAUGAAGCUCUCCAACACUGGAGUGAAUUGGGCAUGUCUGAUCCUGUCGGAGUCAGAGAGCUUGGGACAACAAGCAGAUAGGAGUUUCCAAACGUUUAAUGUCAAGAAAAUUGCCACAUUCAUUCUUAUGUAGGUUCUUAUGUUUUUUUUCUUAACUUUUUUGAGCUUUCAACUUCCAAUUUAUUUGUAAUGUUUUUUUAAAAAGAUGUUAUCUUUCUACAACAUGCAAGUAAAUCAGUAAUUACAUCCA